CCUACGGGUGGCAGCAGUGAGGAAUAUUGGACAAUGGAGGCAACUCUGAUCCAGCCAUGCCGCGUGCAGGAAGACUGCCCUAUGGGUUGUAAACUGCUUUUAUAGAGGAAGAACUAGUGCUACGUGUAGCACCUUGACGGUACUCUACGAAUAAGGAUCGGCUAACUCCGUGCCAGCAGCCGCGGUAAUACGGAGGAUCCAAGCGUUAUCCGGAAUCAUUGGGUUUAAAGGGUCCGUAGGCGGGUCUGUAAGUCAGUGGUGAAAGUUUACGGCUCAACCGUGAAAUUGCCAUUGAUACUGCAGGUCUUGAAUUAUUGUGAAGUGGUUAGAAUAUGUAGUGUAGCGGUGAAAUGCAUAGAUAUUACAUAGAAUACCGAUUGCGAAGGCAGAUCACUAACAAUAUAUUGACGCUAAGGGACGAAAGCGUGGGUAGCGAACAG
rnacentral:rRNA from 1 species